UGGUGGCGUGAGUUGUCUGCCUAAUUGCGUUAACGAACGAGACCUCGAUCUACUAAAUAGUUCGGCGAACUCUUCGGGGUUCGGCCGUGACUUCUUAGAGAGACUAUCGGUGUGUAGCCGGUGGAAGUUCGAGGCAAUAACA
rnacentral:rRNA from 1 species